AACGAACGCUGGCGGCAUGCUUUACACAUGCAAGUCGAACGGCAGCACGGACUUCGGUCUGGUGGCGAGUGGCGAACGGGUGAGUAAUACAUCGGAACGUGCCCAAUCGUGGGGGAUAACGUAGCGAAAGCUACGCUAAUACCGCAUACGAUCUAAGGAUGAAAGCGGGGGAUCGCAAGACCUCGCGCGAUUGGAGCGGCCGAUGGCAGAUUAGGUAGUUGGUAGGGUAAAGGCCUACCAAGCCGACGAUCUGUAGCUGGUCUGAGAGGAUGAUCGGCCACACUGGGACUGAGACACUGCCCAGACUCCUACGGGAGGCAGCAGUGGGGAAUUUUGGACAAUGGACGCAAGUCUGAUCCAGCCAUUCCGCGUGCAGGAUGAAGGCCCUCGGGUUGUAAACUGCUUUUGUACAGAACGAAAAGGCUCUGGUUAAUACCUAGGGCUCAUGACGGUACUGUAAGAAUAAGCACCGGCUAACUACGUGCCAGCAGCCGCCGUAA
rnacentral:rRNA from 1 species